AGUCACAUUAUUUUCAAGGCAAAGUUACUUGGGUCCGUGGCCUACCCUCUGCAUAAUUGCGAUACGAACCCAUAUUACAACAGCCUACUAUCUGAGAGCAUGAUGAGCCAUAAUUGGCACGCACACAAUCAAAUGUUUUGUUGGCAGCCUGACCAGCAAAAACGGCUUCCAAGAACAGGUAUAUUCGACCGCGCCAAAGCUUCCAGACCAUUCGCCAUCGUGCGGAGAUGCAGAUAGGUUUAUAAGUAUCAGAGCGCGACACAAUUUGUACUUAAAAUGCGAAUUUGGUGGUACGUGCUCACAUCAUUAGUAAUUGGAUUAUUAACAUCGGUACACAGCAAAAGAGAUCCGAAGCAGCUGGUCGCCUUUGUAUAUACGUCAACACAUACGUCACUUACAAUUACCACGACCACAAGCGUGGUGCCCCGCAUAUGUAUCUUCGGCCCGUACACGCUGACGACCUGCUCGGGUCGCCGCCGGAGGAGACGCAGUCAGAAGGACAGGUCGGUCCAAUUCUGAACAGCUGUGUUAUCUUACAUAUGUAGUUCUGUGCUGAUGUAGUUGUCAGCUACGGUGAAAUCAAUCGAGUGCUAUGUUCAUUGUUCAUUGUAACAGAUCCCAAGGCUUCCUGUCGUGUUACGUGUCAAAUUAUUAUAUUUUGCCAUAUUUCCAUACAUCUGAUGCGUAUUUCGAACUUGCCACUCCAUUUUAC